AGGCAUGAUGGGUAAUCACAUCAUCCACCUCUCCUCUCACCCUGAUGCUCCAUCAUUCUGGAAGAGGAUCAAUCUGGACUCAUCACAUCACAUGACCUUUUCACAUUGAAACACAGUCUAAUCUUUAUGCUCUCUAUCACACUAAUAUCUACAUCUGAUGGAUGAAGC